GACGAACGCUGGCGGCGUGCUUAACACAUGCAAGUCGAACGGAAAGGCCCUGCUUGCAGGGUAUUCGAGUGGCGAACGGGUGAGUAACACGUGGGUGAUCUGCCCUGCACUUCGGGAUAAGCCUGGGAAACUGGGUCUAAUACCGGAUAGGAGCCAUUUUUAGUGUGAUGGUUGGAAAGUUUUUUCGGUGUAGGAUGAGCUCGCGGCCUAUCAGCUUGUUGGUGGCGUAAUGGCCUACCAAGGCGGCGACGGGUAGCCGGCCUGAGAGGGUGGACGGCCACAUUGGGACUGAGAUACGGCCCAGACUCCUACGGGAGGCAGCAGUGGGGAAUAUUGCACAAUGGGCGCAAGCCUGAUGCAGCGACGCCGCGUGGGGGAUGACGGCCUUCGGGUUGUAAACUCCUUUCGCUAGGGACGAAGCUUUUUGUGACGGUACCUAGAUAAGAAGCACCGGCUAACUACGUG
rnacentral:rRNA from 1 species